UUGACAGCCUUGCAAAUGGAUGGCUUCUUUUCUCCCAAGAAUAGAUACAGCCCGAUAAACAGAGGUGUAAGAUUCCCCCACUGCUUCACCAAUAUGCCUUCACCCCGACAAAGUAAUGGCUGCAAGAAAGAACAAGUCACCUUUUCAGCCACUUCUCUGCUGAUACCGCU
rnacentral:sRNA from 1 species